rnacentral:lncRNA from 1 species
CCCCUUUACCACUUUGGAGGCAUUUGUCGAAUCCAACAAGCAUCAAAGCUCUUAUGCCAGAGGCUCAGAAUUAAAAGAUCUGAAAAAGUUGGAGUCAUUGACAUGAAGUCUUCCUUUGGAUGCACCAGUACGAUGCAAUUAGGGAGGAAAAAGAGAAAGAGACAAAUUUCUAGAGCAGCUAUUCAUGUUAGUAGGGUGAGGUUGUUGAGAAGAGAGAGGCAAGGAGUAAAGAUUGUGGAUACAGAUCCUGAUUAAACUACUAGAUGUCCUUCCCUAGCUAUUUUUAAAUACACAGGUUCUGAAGUCAUUCCUGUGUGUAAUGAUGUUGAACUUGCUGUCAGUAGAAGCAGCAAAGGAAAUCUAGUUUAGAUUUAACUUGUAUGUCUCGAGAUCAUCUAUCAAAUUUGAAGAGGUCAAGAGUUCAGUUUCCUACUUGGUUCCACAUGGUUCAUAUUACUUUGUUAAACUUUUCUCACGGAUUGUGGACAAGUGAAUAUCUCAAUAUUUUAAUACACUCUAACAGGAAGUAUACUCCAUUUUGUACAAAUGCAACCUCCUUAGAAGAUCUAAUAGCAAAAUAUACUCUUUGACCUGUUAUAUUUGUUACAACGAUUUAGUUUGGUAUACAAGAUCAGAUUGCGUAAUAUGCUAUUGUUGUCCAGAAUUUCCGUGGAAGAGUGUUUGCAUCCACCAAAGGUGUUGCUACUUCAAAUAUCCUGUGAUUUACUUCUUCAGAUAAUUCUUUUGAUAGAUUGCUGAAAGAUAAUUCACACACCUGAAUGUGAGUUUCUGUUUCUUUUUGAUAGUUUAUGCAUAUAUUCAGCAGUUCCUUCUUCUGCAGUGAAGGAAUAAAGAGAUUAAAUGUUUGCCGAUGUUUCUCUUUUGAGGAAAUAGCUCCGUUGGUUCUUGACUGGUGACAUCGGCAAUGGUCCUCUUUUCUAGAGAGAUCAAUACGAUCCACCAUGGGUCCAUAGUCUCAUAUAUGAUAUGUAAACUAGAUUGCUAGAGAAACUUCUAUAUAUUUGCUGGAUGAUAAAAAGCAGCAUCUUUCUCUCUCUUUUCUUUUGUGUGUGUGUGAAUUGUUUGAUGCUGGAUGUUUCUGACUCUCUUGCAGUGAAGUUCCAAUCUCCAGGAAAUGCUAGCCAAUCAUCCCAGUUAAUGGUGUAUCCAGUGGUCACCAAGUAUGGUUCCAGACAGGAUGCUCCACUGGAAAGUCUGGUAUAGGAAUUCUCAUAUAACAGAACAUUUUGUACCUGUUUUGUCUUUGUGAACUUUUUUAGCAGGCACUUAAUCGCGUUUGUUUGAAGGGAUUUCAGUUGCAGUUCUUU